AUUGCACUUGAAACGCACUGCAUUGUGGGGCGAUUUCGUCAGAAGCCAAACUCACUGGAUUCUGGAUUUUGUCACAGACGUCACAGACGAUCAGGAGAGAUACACGACCAGAUACGAGCCGUGUGCCACAGCCGCUGAUGUGCAGAGAACAGUGAUGCUACCGAGCACCCCCUGCUUGAUUAUCCAAGGUGACCUGAUGAAGCCAAAGACUUGGAUGCUAUCCACUGAAGGCCAAGUGGUGAUGGGGCCAGACGC